GCUAGGAUGGUGUAGUGGUUUGAACACUGGACUAUGACUCUGAAGACCAGGGUUCAAAUCCCAGCUCAACCC